rnacentral:rRNA from 1 species
GUAGCUUGCUACCUGCCGGCGAGUGGCGAACGGGUGAGUAAUACAUCGGAACGUGCCCUGUAGUGGGGGAUAACUAGUCGAAAGACUAGCUAAUACCGCAUACGACCUGAGGGUGAAAGUGGGGGACCGCAAGGCCUCAUGCUAUAGGAGCGGCCGAUGUCUGAUUAGCUAGUUGGUGGGGUAAAGGCCCACCAAGGCGACGAUCAGUAGCUGGUCUGAGAGGACGAUCAGCCACACUGGGACUGAGACACGGCCCAGACUCCUACGGGAGGCAGCAGUG